UACGGGGGGGGGUAAGCGUUGUUCGGAAUUACUGGGCGUAAGGGGCUCGUAGGCGGCCAACUAAGUCAUACGUGAAAUCCCUCAGCUUAACUGGGGAACUGCGUGUGAUACUGGAUGGCUUGGAUUUGGGAGAGGGAUGCGGAAUUCCAGGUGUAGCGGUGAAAUGCGUAGAUAUCUGGAGGAACACCGGUGGCGAAGGCGGCAUCCUGGACCGGUAUUGACGCUGAGGCGCGAAAGCCAGGGGAGCAAAGCGGG
rnacentral:rRNA from 1 species